rnacentral:rRNA from 1 species
GACGAACGCUGGCGGCGUGCUUAACACAUGCAAGUCGAACGGUGAAGCGCCUUCCUUUUUGGUGGGUGUGGAUGAGUGGCGAACGGGUGAGUAACACGUGAGUAACCUUCCCCCUUCUUCUGGAUAACCGCAUGAAAGUGUGGCUAAUACGGGAUAUUCUGGGUCUGUCGCAUGAUGGGUCUGGGAAAGUUUUUGUUUCGGUGGGGGAUGGGCGCGCGGCCUAUCAGCUUGUUGGUGGGGUGAGGGCCUACCAAGGCGGUGAGGGGUAGCCGGCCUGAGAGGGUGGACGGUAACAGUGGGAAGGAGAGACGGACAAGACUCCGAGGGGAGGCAGCAGUGGGGAAUAUGGCACAAUGGGCGGAAGGCUGAUGCAGCGACGCGGCGGGAGGGAGGGAGGCCUUCGGGUUGUGAACCGCUUUCGGCAGUGAAGCAGGGCGGCCUCGAUUGUGGGUGGGUUGACGGUAGCUGGAUAAGAAGCGCCGGCUAACUACGUG